rnacentral:rRNA from 1 species
GGCCUUUUGUUUAUAAUUUAAGGUCUAGCCUGCCCACUGAGUAAUUUAAGGGCUGCGGUAUCUUGACCGUGCUAAGGUAGCAUAAUAAUUAGUUUUUUAAUUGAAAGCUGGAAUGAAGGGUUGAACGAGAAAAAAGCUGUCUCGAUUUAAUUUGUUUAGAAUUUUAUCUUUAAGUAAGAAAGCUUAAAUUUUUCAAAAAGACGAGAAGACCCUAUAGAGUUUUAUAAAAAAAUUUUGUUUUUAAAUUUUAAGAAUUUAGUUUUUAAGUAAUUUUUUUUUAUUUGGUUGGGGUGACUGAAAAAUUUAAUUAACUUUUUCUUUAUUUUUACACUAAUUUGUGACUUUUUGAUCCAUUUUUUGAUUAAAAGAUUAAAUUACCUUAGGGAUAACAGCGUAAUUUUUCUAGAGAGUUCUAAUCGACAGAAUAGUUUGCGACCUCGAUGUUGGAUUAAAAUUAAUUUUUGGUGCAGAAGCUAAAAGUUUAGGUCUGUUCG